UACGGAGGGUGCAAGCGUUAUCCGGAUUCACUGGGUUUAAAGGGUGCGUAGGCGGGCAGGUAAGUCCGUGGUGAAAUCUCUGAGCUUAACUCAGAAACUGCCAUGGAUGACUAUUUGUCUUGAAUAUUGUGGAGGUAAGCGGAAUAUGUCAUGUAGCGGUGAAAUGCUUAGAUAUGACAUAGAACACCAAUUGCGAAGGCAGCUUACUACACAGUAAUUGACGCUGAGGCACGAAAGCGUGGGAUCAAACAGG
rnacentral:rRNA from 1 species